CACGUAGGGCGCGAGCGUUGUCCGGAAUUAUUGGGCGUAAAGAGCUCGUAGGCGGCCUGUUGCGUCCGCUGUGAAAGCCCGGGGCUUAACCCCGGGUCGGCAGUGGAUACGGGCAGGCUAGAGGUAGGUAGGGGAGAAUGGAAUUCCCGGUGUAGCGGUGAAAUGCGCAGAUAUCGGGAGGAACACCGGUGGCGAAGGCGGUUCUCUGGGCCUUACCUGACGCUGAGGAGCCGAAAGCGUGGGGAGCAAACAGG
rnacentral:rRNA from 1 species